GCCAGUUACACCAACUGUUUCACAUAGAACUAUUAACUACAAUCUUCACAAUGAAAUUCGUCGUGGUUUUCGUUAUGUGCCUGAUCGCCAUGGCAGCUGCGGCUCCCCAGUAUAUCUACCCUUUCAACGGCUUUGUGGAUAAUCUGGCCUCUCAGACUGUGAUCGCUGGGCCGACUGUUGUCAACCGAGGCCUUGCAGGUUUCGGCGCAGGUUUAGUGGCGCCCGGGUUCGCUGACUUCUUGUGCGACAACUGUUAAAUGUUUGAUCCAUUUACGUCAUUGUAAAUUAUCAUCAAUGUCAUUUAUCACCGAUUGUAAUUUUUUAAAUAAACAUUUUUG